rnacentral:rRNA from 1 species
UAUCUCUGUAGAGUCUGCAUAUCAAUAAGCGGAGGAAAAGAAACUAACUAGGAUUCCCUUAGUAACGGCGAGUGAAGCGGGAAGAGCUCAAAUUUGAAAUCUUCAAGGUUUUACCUUGACGAAUUGUAGUUUAAAGAAGUGUUUUCUGUUGGUGUUUUGGUAAAAGUUCUUUGGAAUAGGACAUCAUAGAGGGUGAGAAUCCCGUAUUUGACCGUUAUUUUCAGCUGUGUGCUACACUUUCAAAGAGUCGGAUUGUUUGGGAAUGCAGUCCAAAAUGGGUGGUAAAUUUCAUCUAAAGCUAAAUAUUGGCGAGAGACCGAUAGCGAACAAGUACCGUGAGGGAAAGAUGAAAAGAACUUUGAAGAGAGAGUUAAACAGUACGUGAAAUUGUCAAAAGGGAAGCGUUUGACACCAGUGUUGUUUUCUCGAAAAUCAAUUAAAAAAUGGCUUGGAUUUUGUAUUGUAAUUGACCUAUAAGCUUACUGUCACUCUUUUCAUGUCUUUUUUUAAUGCACUUUUCGUUUAACAAGUCAACAUCAGUUUCUUUUGUUGUAAAAAGGUCAUUGGAAGGUGGCUUUCUUUUCGGAGAAAGUGUUUAUAGCCUUUGACUUCUGCAAUCGGAGAGACUGAGGUCUGCAGCGUAGAUCCUUCUGGAUUAGAUUCAUUUGUGCUAAGUUACAACCGUUUAUAGACAACUUGUUGACUAUAUUCGAUCCUGUAGCUUACUCGCUUAUGUAAUUUUACCUACGCUUAGGAUGUUGAUAUGCAUGACUGAUAU